GGCGGAGGAAACCGUGUCUGUUGUUCGUUUAAUUUCUAGUUCUGUGGGAUAUAUUAAUGGAUCUUCAAUUGUAUUUUUUUUUUUUGUUUGAAAUUUACCUAUGACGUCAUUUUUGUGGCGUUUAUACCGUCGGGAGACAUACAGUUGGUGGUUCUGUUGCGCUUUUUGUAUGUGCUGUACUAGGCUCGUUUUGUAAUCUGUAGUUAGCAUGUUGAAAUAUACUAUUAUAUUGUGUAUUUGUAUAUUUCUCUUUCCUAGAUAUUCUUCCAUUUAUUUGUACUGUAUUCCUAGCAUGUACAGUUGUCACUUUAUAGUUAAAUUUAACAUUGCAAUUUUUUCUAUAAAUGUCCUGUACGAAGGCAGGAAAAUUGCAGUUG
rnacentral:lncRNA from 1 species